ensembl:lncRNA
UUGGACUUGUAACACAGCUGCCUUCUCUUACAUCACAGAUCAGCCUUGCAUACUUACACAUUUCACACUCCGUCUACCCACACCCACAGAUGCACAGAAUCCCAAAGAUGGUGUGAAACUUCUAGAGAAGUAGAGCUCUCUGCAUCUAACCAGGAAAUGGACGUUGACACAGGAAACUGGUGGUCAUGUUUUCACAUGGUGCAUCUCUGAGGGAAGCCAGUAUCAGAUAUGAUUGGUUUCCAACCGUCUAAGAGGCAAGCUGCACAGACUAGUGGCUAAAGGAGAACAGAGCAGUGGAACGCAGGGAAACUAGUUCAGAUGAGUCCCUUUUCAUUUACUAGGAAAGGAAGGGACUGACAGCUAUUUGUCUGGUUUUAGAAUGGUGAAAGAGAUUCUGUUUCCAGGAAACCCAGAUCCUUGUGACAGUUAUGACACGCAGUGGUGGGUUGAUAUUGGAAUGAAUGAAGUGAGAUACUUCUGUGAAAGUCGCUGGGACAAGGAAGAAGGUUUGAAGCCAGGCUCAGAGACGUACGGCUACAAAGCUUUCUCUGGGGAGGGGUUUGUCAUGCAAUGUACCAAACCACAGUCUGCCGGUCUCUGUGAGCGCCUCUACAACAUCACAGCCAGCUCUGAGGAAGCUGAUUGGUCGAAGGCCGAGGGGGAAACCAACAGAGACAGAGUUGACGGGGCCGUGACAGGACGGGGGAACGCACUCUGGUUCUCUACCGUUACUGCAAAGGACUCUGGGAUGUACACAUG